CUGAAAAUCUAAUGAGUCUCCUCAACUGAUUAACUGAGAUGAAUAAUCGGCUAGCCAUCGUAUACUUAUGGACAAAAGUAUUGAGACUCACAUCUUAAUAUGAUUAUUUGAAUUAUUAGUCAAUCAGGGUUAAGAUAUCUUCUUAGUUUCCUUUGCAUUUUGUUUUUUGAACAGUUGACUCCUCGACUUUACCACUUUGCAAUGCCGAUUAUUGCUUGCGGUCGAUUAAUGGCUAAUCACGGGUUUGGCAACAACAUGCCUGCCCGAAAAAAACAGAUGGUGUUUUGCAGCGGUGCCUCGUGAGACUGGUAGCACGGUCACUACACCAAAAUAUUAAAGUCUAUCCUCAAAAAAUACCAAAGCACAAGCACUAUGCACAGCCAACUGAAAAGGCAAUCACUAACGCUAGCAGGGUGAAAUCAUAUCAGCCACCUUCCUGUAACGGUAAAAAAACAAACAAUAAUGUAUGUCCUGCCAGAAAAAGAAAAUGAAGGCAUGUGUUCAGUCAUUAACCUCAAAGCUUGAAAGGUUAAAGUCGCCAGAGAAAAUAUCAAAGUUGCAUUUUCUUUUCUCCAGCAGAUACUCAUAGUCCUCGUCCUUUUCCUACACCCUCUGACUCACUCAUCCAUGUACGAAUCACAAACACCUUCAGGGUGUCACAGAUAAUCAGAUCUUUUAAAACUCUUGCAACAAUCCACAUAACUGCAGGUUUUCUAUGUAACAUUUCAAAUCAUUUCCACUUUUCUGUAUUUUUGUAGGUCGACUUGCGCGUUGUCCAAACCAAAAUAAUUAAAAAAGUGUAUUAUAUUGUUUGUUUUUACCAUUUCUUCUGGAUGCAAGUAUUAAAACAGGCUUGUGAAGUUGUCAAGCAACGGGAUGGAUCAAAUGAAAUCAUUAGCUUGUAAUGGAUGGAGGGGGAAACAACAGAACUCAAAGCUGGUUCUCCACAUGAUACAAAAAUCAUUUCCCAACCAUCAUCUCAACAGCGUCACUAAUGUGCUCUCAGCAUGUUCGAUUAGCCUCCCAACACAAGUAAUACAGGGUGAAUAUUAUUUUUUCCACAAUUGAAUGUGCUUUCAAAUAGGUGAAACGCACUUGUUGAAUAGAUGUAAAGAAGCGACUCAAGACGAGGCUCCGUUUUUAAAUCACAUUAGUGACAUGAAAUAUCAUUUAAUGUUAUUUGCAAGAGUUUGCCCUUUAAAAGUAAUAAGUCAAUUAAUUGAUGUGUUUUGCAUACAUGACCAAUGUAGCAAUACGGUGAAUUUAAAGGACGUCCAGACUUUUUUUAACUACUUUGUUGUGAUGAAUUUACCAGCGCCUCUGUUGCUUGCAAUCCAUCUAGCCACAAUUACUUCGAGAUGAAUCGACACUCAGUUUCCAUAUAAAUUCUUAAAGUUGGCUAAAUCAAUCAGUCCUAACAAGCCGUGUAUACAACCUAAUGCAUCUUGUUGUUUAUCAAUGAGUAAUAGAAUGGGAAUUGUCUCCAUGGUGAUCAAGCACCAGCCUCCAUCUCUAAUUAAAAGGGUGUCACAGUAGAAAAUGAUGACAAAACAGGAGCGGUAGUCUACUCAAAGAUUUUUCCUCUCCUCUAUUCAAAGUUGUGUUUGAGAGAUAUACUUCAGUUUCCAUGGCAACAUAUUAACUGACACACUGUGUGCCACCACGCUCGACAUUAACACAAGUAAAACAAAGGGAAUAAUGUGUUUGCUGGUCGCCGAGCGUUCCAAUCGUCUGGAGUCUCAUCUGCACACUUUCAUUAAGCAAAGGAGCACAGCCGCCUCUUUUGUGCAUUGUAAAAAUACACAAGAGGGCUUGUAUGGUGCGCUCAUGCAAUCUCAAACUACAAUUGCACUAAUAACGCCAGAGUAGCACAUGUUUGUUUGUUCUCAGGUGUCAUGGAAGCAAUUGAAUCUUUUGUUAUCGGAGCUACCAACUUGCCCGCAAGCCAACACAUUGCAGGGAUUAAACCCCGCAACAGUUGUGCGCGUGAGUUUGUUGUUGUGUGAAAAGUAAUGAAGAGGUGGCAAAUAUACUCACACACUACUUGGGUACAAGUAAAGAUACUUGUGGAAGAGACAGUUGGAAGAAAUAGAAAUAAUAAUUCAUUCCAAUAAGAGUGUUGCAUUAGAUUUUCAACAUGGUGAAAGCACUGGCCUGCCGAGCUUGGUGGAAUCUGGUUUGCCAAAUUGAAAAACAAAAACAGCAAGCAUUGCUUUACCAAAUAAAUCCCUGGAUUUGUUACGAAUCCUCUCAGCUUCCCAUGGCCUCUCCCCCCGCUUCAUCUGAUCCAAUUCUGUCUUUUUAACUUUUGUUGCCAACCAGAGAAAUCUCCCAAGGCCCAACAAAACAAGUCGUGGCAGUAGGUUUCACAAAAAAUAAAUGACACCUCGUCAGUCACAUCUUUUAUCUGUUACUGGUUUGUUUUUCUCCGACGCGUGGUUCCGGAAGACUGUAAUUGCAGGUACAUGUUCUCCACAGAUUAAUUUAAUGUCUUUCAGUCAGCUUCACUAGCAAUUCAUACAAAUAUGGAAAAUCUAUUUUAUUUUCAAACAUUGCGACCUCCCUCUUUAGGUUUGAGGUUUAAUGAAUUUUUAAAAUAUUCAUAGUGAGAAGAAAAUAGAUACUUUACUCAAGUAAAGCUCUGCUACCAGAAAAACCGACAUAAGUACAGAAAGAAAAUAUUUGUACUUGGUUACGUUCUACCACAGGAGUGAAGGGAAAUUGUUGAAUGUUCAAAGUUAUUAUGUGCCUCCUAUUUUUAGAUCAAAUCAAGAAAGUGUUUUGACUCCACAGACAAGCCGAGUGCUCUUCUUCUAACGAGAGUCGACGUCAGAACGCCCUGUCGGAGAGGCUGAAUAUAGAUGCAAAGAAACACAUCAUAAAGUGCUACUUUAAAGUUCAGUGGUUGGGAAAUGAUUUUCAAGUUGCUCUUAGGAGAUGUGAAUACACACAUCGCAAGACAAACUAGUUUUAUUGCCAGAUGGUCCUCGCACAUUUAGCGUUGUCGCACAUUAGCUAGGCGUUGAUGAGCGGAAGUGAAAUGUUGACAUUUUAAAUUCUUCUAUUAAAAGCUGCCUUUCCUCCCAUUUACAAUGUUUGUUGGUUUUGCUGAAAAAAAAAUCGACCAAAUCGAAUGCAUUGUUUCAUGAAUGAUUCAAUGUGAAUAGGGAUAUCGGCUCUCAAAAUUAUACAGUCAUUAGGAAUCCCUGAAAAUGUAUUCUCUGAGAAAUCCAAACUAUAUGCAUAUGCAGAUAGGCUCUAUUUAGGAAGAUGCUGUUUGCGGAUUUGAUUUUGAGUGGUUGUGUUCCUUUUGCAUCGCUGUAGUAUAAAUCGCAGUUGAGAGCUUGAUUGCUCUCGACCGCCAUCAGAUGGAGUGUGACAUCACAAAUGAAGGCACGCUCAUUAAACACUGAUUCUUCAUUCAAAUUUCCAAAGAUAAUUUCAACUUGGAUGCUGAUGAAGUGGUAAAACUCCCUUCGCAUUGACACUUUUUGGAUGAUGUGGCAUUUUGUCACUUGGGGUUCUGUGGGAAAGGUUCUGUUUGAAAGAUCAUUUGUGGAACUGCUUUCUGCUUGAAUGACAAGUUGGCAACCUGACAAAUGUCACAGUCGUAUUUCUUUCAAAUAUAUACCCUGACAUACUCUAGCCCAUUUUUAAGAUAUCCUUUGUGUUUGGA